GCAGUGCCAUAUAUUUAGAGAGUCACGACACUCCCAUAGGGAUCCAUUAUACGAUUUAACUUCCGGGUACUUCCGGGUUAUGGAGCCUUGGAUAGUUACAAACAUCGCAUUUGACAUGACGGACACCAUUCAUUUGAACGGCAGGCUGUCAAGUAUAUUCGGAGGUGCUUCAACCAAUGCACACUGGCAUUGGUUGCAGAGUGAGAAGCUGAUGACCCUCUUCACUAUGCAUCCUGCCAGAUGUUGCCAUUUUGCCUGACAGCGUGGUCCCUGGCGCAUCUGGGCCUAGUGUUGUGGCGCCACCGCUGGUUCCUGAUUGGUCGGCACCCGGCUCAUCCACCCCUGGAUCACCUGGCCUGGAUACGUCAUUGUUAUUGUGCUCACUUUCGCCCAACCUUCCCACCUCAAUUUCUCCCUGAAUGUCUGUAACAAUAACAAGGCAUUCUUAAUUUUAUAUGUAGUCAAUGUUUUUACAUUUGCACCUAUUGUGAUCUCCAAAGUAAGGGUACACUACACUCCUAAA